rnacentral:rRNA from 1 species
UACAGAGGUCUCAAGCGUUGUUCGGAUUCAUUGGGCGUAAAGGGUGCGUAGGCGGCGCGGUAAGUCGGGGUGUGAAAUUUCGGAGCUUAACUCCGAAACUGCAUUCGAUACUGCCGUGCUUGAGGACUGGAGAGGAGACUGGAAUUUACGGUGUAGCAGUGAAAUGCGUAGAGAUCGUAAGGAAGACCAGUGGCGAAGGCGGGUCUCUGGACAGUUCCUGACGCUGAGGCACGAAGGCCAGGGGAGCAAACGGG